UCUCUCCUUUAAUCUGCCUCUCUUUUUCUUUAUGUCUGUCUCAUUCUUAGUGUCUCUGUCUAUUGUUCAGGAUUUGUUGUGGGUAAUGGGCCAUCUGCCGACUGGUAUCUGCCAUUUGUAACAGCGGCUGAUGCCAAAGUGCUGGAGCAUUCUGGGAAAUUGCAGUAGCUACUGGAUAUUUUACGCUGGGCAGAGGAACUACAGGACAAAGUGUUAGUGUUUAUCCAGUCUCUGAUAUCGCUUGACCUUAAUGAGAGUUUCCUUCUGUAUGCAGAUGAGACCAGGGGGAAUAAAUGUUGUCCACAAAAAGGGGACGGUUGUUUCUGAUCUCCACUCGCAGGGGGUCUCUGGGAAUCAACCUGGUUGUGGUGUUUGACGCUUGCUGGAAUCCGUCAUAUGACAUCCAGAGCAUCUUCAGAGUCUAUCGCUUUGGGCAGAAAAAAAUUGUAUGUGUGUACCAUUUUCUAGCCCAGGUAUACAAACGACAGAUACUUGGGAGGAACUGAGAAGUCAAUUGUCAUUGUUAACCUGUUCAAGAAGAUUUUACUAUUGAGUAAAAAAUGUCUUAAUUUUUUUUGUUUAAGGUUUUAUUUUGUUUUUUCACAUACAUUUUUAUAGCUUUAACAAAAACUAUAUGGGAAACUAUUUUCUUGCGUUUUUAAUGUGGCGGUUUGUUUUGUA